AGAAGAACGGGAACGCGUCCUUGGUCUUCUCCUUCCUCUACAAGGUGGUGGAGGUGUUCAGUGAGUAUUUCAAGGAGCUGGAGGAGGAGAGCGUCCGCGACAACUUCGUCAUCGUCUACGAGCUGCUGGAUGAGCUGAUGGACUUCGGCUUCCCGCAGACCACCGACAGCAAAAUCCUGCAGGAGUACAUCACGCAGGAGGGGAAGAAGCUGGAGCGGGGCCGGUGGCGCGUGCCCAGCACGGUGACCAACGCCGUGUCCUGGCGCUCCGAGGGGAUCCGCUACAAGAAGAACGAGGUGUUCAUCGACGUCAUCGAGGCCGUCAACCU